UACGUAGGGGGCAAGCGUUGUCCGGAUUUACUGGGCGUAAAGGGCGUGCAGGCGGUUUGUUAAGUGCAGAGUGAAAGCUCCCGGCUCAACUGGGAGAGGUCUUUGCAUACUGGCAAACUCGAGGGAGGCAGAGGAAAGUGGAAUUCCCGGUGUAGUGGUGAUAUGCGUAGAUAUCGGGAGGAACACCUGUGGCGAAGGCGGCUUUCUGGGCCUUACCUGACGCUGAGACGCGAAAGCGUGGGGAGCGAACCGG
rnacentral:rRNA from 1 species